AAAUAAAAGUAAGUUGCAGUUUAAUUGAUAUGAAUGAAUUAUAAAUAAAAGUGAUAUGGAAGAUUCACGUUUUUUCUUUUUUUUUUUUUUUUACCAGUUCCGUAUCUUUCAUGGAGAAGAAUUACAAAGGACUUAUAUAAAUACUCUGCCCUCAGGAAGGGAGCUUAACUCUUUAUUUCCUAAGAGUGGGCUAUGCAUGGUGUGACUUCCUUCCAAAGAUGGAGCAUGGAUAAAAUACAUACGGCCAUUACAAAGCUCAAGCACUCAUUGCUCUCAUGGAAAAAAUUAUUUAUUUUUUGAGAUGGCGUUUCAUUCUGUUACCAAGGCUGGAGUGCAGUAGUAUAAUCUCAGCUCACUGCAACCUCUACCUCCCGGGUUCUAGCGAUUCUCCUGCCUCAGCCUCCCAAGUAGCUGAGAUUACAGAAUCAGAGAUACAUAGAACAAUCCUGAACCCAAAUCUAGCAUACUGCACCCAAGUCACAAAUUGA
rnacentral:lncRNA from 1 species